UGGGGAUGUUUGUCCGUAAAGGUGGAUGAGUGGUGUUUGGUUUGUUACGUGUGGUUGGCUGCGGCGUUUGCAACAACUUCCAUGCUUUCAGACCUCUUCAGUUGUGCGGCAAGGCUUGUAUCGCCUUGAGCGUAUUGUGGGUUUUCUGUGUUGACUACCUAAUCAAUGGUAUCGGUUGGAUUGAUCAAUGUUUCAUUUCGUCUAUCGUCGCAUUCGCGGCGUGAGAUGAACCUUGAUGCGGUCUCUUUGAUCCACCUCGUCGAAGCACAUGCUUUGACGUUGUGGCACAUUGAGCAUUGCUUGGUCUCUUGUAUACGGAACAUAUAGUGGGCAUGGAUCUAACGAUUCUUGUUUGCCCUCAUAUUAGCGUAACGCUUCUCUUACACGACUUGCUCUACGUUUUAGCUCGUACGGACGUGGUGCUAUGUCGAAGAGGAAUGCUACCUGGUUGAUCCUGCCAGUAGUCAUAUGCUUGUCUCAAAGAUUAAGCCAUGCAGGUGUAAGUA
rnacentral:misc_RNA from 1 species